AACGAACGCUGGCGGCAUGCCUAACACAUGCAAGUCGAACGAGACCUUCGGGUCUAGUGGCGCACGGGUGCGUAACGCGUGGGAACCUGCCCUUAGGUUCGGAAUAACUCCCCGAAAGGGGUGCUAAUACCGGAUAAUGUCUUCGGACCAAAGAUUUAUCGCCUUUGGAUGGGCCCGCGUUGGUUUAGCUAGUUGGUAGGGUAAAAGCCUACCAAGGCGACGAUCCAUAGCUGGUCUGAGAGGAUGAUCAGCCACACUGGGACUGAGACACGGCCCAGACUCCUACGGGAGGCAGGAGUGGGGAAUAUUGGACAAUGGGCGAAAGGCUGAUCCAGCAAUGCCGGGUGAGUGAUGAAGGCCUUAGGGUUGUAAAGCUCUUUUACCCGGGAUGAUAAUGACAGUACCGGGAGAAUAAGCUCCGGCUAACUCCGUG
rnacentral:rRNA from 1 species